rnacentral:rRNA from 1 species
GACGAACGCUGGCGGCGUGCUUAACACAUGCAAGUCGAGCGGUAAGGCCCUUUCGGGGGUACGACGAGCGGCGAACGGGUGAGUAACACGUGGGUGACCUGCCCUUAGCUCUGGGAGUAAGCCUGGGAAACGUAGGGUCGUAAUACCGGAUAUGACUCCAUGACGCAUGUUGUGGGUGGAAAGCCUUGUGCGGCUAGGAUGGCCCGCGGCCUAUCAGCUUGUUGGUGGGGUGAUGGCCUACCAAGGCGACGACGGUAGCCGGCCUGAGAGGGCGACCGGCCACACUGGGA